AGAGACCGGCGCACGGGUGCGUAACGCGUAUGCAAUCUACCUUUUACAGAGGGAUAGCCCAGAGAAAUUUGGAUUAAUACCUCAUAGUAUAGUGACUCGGCAUCGAGAUACUAUUAAAGUCACAACGGUAAAAGAUGAGCAUGCGUCCCAUUAGCUAGUUGGUAAGGUAACGGCUUACCAAGGCUACGAUGGGUAGGGGUCCUGAGAGGGAGAUCCCCCACACUGGUACUGAGACACGGACCAGACUCCUACGGGAGGCAGCAGUGAGGAAUAUUGGACAAUGGGCGCAAGCCUGAUCCAGCCAUGCCGCGUGCAGGAUGACGGUCCUAUGGAUUGUAAACUGCUUUUGUACGAGAAGAAACACUCCUACGUGUAGGAGCUUGACGGUAUCGUAAGAAUAAGGAUCGGCUAACUCCGUGCCAGCAGCCGCGGUAAUACGGAGGAUCCAAGCGUUAUCCGGAAUCAUUGGGUUUAAAGGGUCCGUAGGCGGUUUAGUAAGUCAGUGGUGAAAGCCCAUCGCUCAACGGUGGAACGGCCAUUGAUACUGCUAAACUUGAAUUAUUAGGAAGUAACUAGAAUAUGUAGUGUAGCGGUGAAAUGCUUAGAGAUUACAUGGAAUACCAAUUGCGAAGGCAGGUUACUACUAAUGGAUUGACGCUGAUGGACGAAAGCGUGGGUAGCGAACAGGAUUAGAUACCCUGGUAGUCCACGCCGUAAACGAUGGAUACUAGCUGUUGGAAGCAAUUUCAGUGGCUA
rnacentral:rRNA from 1 species